rnacentral:ncRNA from 1 species
GUGUUGUAUGAAAGGAGAGAAGGUUAGUACUCCACUUGACAAAAUAUCCAGGGCUUCAAGAGCCAGUACAGAGCAGAAAUGUUUGUAUUUUU